AUUGCUCGUUUUAAAUAAUUUUGGGUCGAAGGCAGGCAGGGAUUGAUGGGCACUCGAUUUGAAUACGGGUUUUAUUUAACGGAGCCCACGAUCUUGAGACUCGAAGCUUUGAUACGAUCUUGAGUCUCGCAUUUUGUCGCUAUUAAGGCAGGGUCACCAAAUCAGAUUUCAAUAUUCAAAAUAAUUAAAAAUGAAAACGAAAUAGUUAUUAAACGCCUCCUCACUCUUCGUUGAAAACUGUAUUUUAAUUCUAACUUUUUGUUUUUUAGUUUUCUUUUGUUUGAAAAUUAAAAGUAGCUACAAAAAAUAUUUAAUUUUUUGAUUUUCAAAUAAUGAAAAAUAAAAGUAACUUAAAACGAAAUAGUUAUUAAACUCCUUCUAACCAUAUAAUUAGUUGAAUUAGUCUUGAACUGUGACACAACACUUAAUUAUAUGGUUAAUUUGGAGACUAUAUGAUAUGCACUAAUAGACAACCCUGUCCAAAAUCAUCAUGACGUAAGGUUGGUUAACCCCUUGACCGACCUAUUAAUAAACAUUGAUAAUGUCCUUAACAUUAGGUUACGUAUGGAUAACUAUCUAAUUUUUAUAUGUGAUUCUAGAUUGGUUUUAACAUUUUAAAACAUUUCAAGUUACUAUUUAACAUAAGAAAAUGAACGCUCGUCGGGUAACCAGCUUUAAAUGAUGAUGCCAUUACCAUGAAUGGAUAAUGUCCUUAAUUCAAGUUAUAAGGUGGACAAAAAUGGAAGCUGAUUUUACUAACACAUUAUUUUGGAGUUUUUGGAUCCCCAAACAGACUCCUCUUGGUCAAGAUAAACGCUAAAUAUGUAUACGGUUCUAGAGCUCAAGACUAAAUUGUAGUAAUGGUCCAUU
rnacentral:lncRNA from 1 species